rnacentral:rRNA from 1 species
GACGUAGGGUGCGAGCGUUGUCCGGAUUUACUGGGCGUAAAGCGCGUGUAGGCGGCCCGGUAAGUCCGCUGUGAAAGUCGGGGGCUCAACCCUCGAAUGCCGGUGGAUACUGUCGGGCUAGAGUGCGGAAGAGGCGAGUGGAAUUCCUGGUGUAGCGGUGAAAUGCGCAGAUAUCAGGAGGAACACCAAUUGCGAAGGCAGCUCGCUGGGACGUGACUGACGCUGAGACGCGAAAGCGUGGGGAGCAAACAGG